AUGCUCACUUCCGUAGCACAUGCACUAAAAUUGGAACGAUACAGAGAAGAUUACCAUGGGCCCCUGCGCAAGGCUGACACACAAAUUCAUGAAGUGUUCUAUAUUUUU